rnacentral:rRNA from 1 species
AUCCUAGCCGUAAACGAUGAUAACUAGCUGUGGGAGGUAUCGACCCCUCCCGUGGCGACGCUAACGCAUUAAGUUAUCCGCCUGGGGAGUACGGCCGCAAGGUUAAAACUCAAAGGAAUUGACGGGGCCCGCACAAGCGGUGGAGCAUGUGGUUUAAUUCGACGCUACGCGAAGAACCUUACCUGGGCUCGAACGACUGGUGGUACCUUAUUUGAAAGGAUGAGGGACCCGCAAGGGAGCCAGCCGAGGUGCUGCAUGGUUGUCGU